CUCUUCUUCCAAAUGCUCUCUCUCCGCCGCGCUCCAGUUCGGCAGCCCCCUCUCCACCUCUCCUUUCCACUGGAAUAUCUCCGAUAGCUCUCCGACUUCACCAACCUGCAAGCAAUUGCAAUUCCAUCAACAACAACAACAAUGCUAGGAGCAGGUUUCUAGGGCUGUGGUAUUGUUCCCAUCCUCGAACUCGGGCGAACUCUGCGAGCCUGUCUCUGAGUUCCUGCAGUGAGACGUCUUUGGCGGUUUUUUCAGGACUUGUAGAUUUGUCCUGUCUGAUUUAAGUGCAACGUGAUCUUCAACUUCGGGCACAAAAGAAACCAUUCUCGAUCAUUUCUAUUCAAUAACCACAAUUUGACUAUAGACACACAGAUAGAUCUACUUACUACUUUCAAUAUCUCAUAAAUUACAGGUUGGAUAGUGUUAGCUAAUCCUAAUAUUAUCAUAGUUUGUUGGAGUGACUUUGACAAUCAAAUUAAGGACAUAGUUGAGAGUAAUUUUCAAAUGGUUAAAAUAACUUUUAUCAUUAUAAAAAUCACUCUAAAACAUGUAUUUAAUCAUUUAAAAUCAAUUUUGAUCAUAUUAAAUUCUAUAUAGAUGCGUAAAAUUAAAUAUUAAACUAUUUUUUAACAAUUAAAGGUGUAUUUCAAAAUGAUUUUGAAUAUGACAAAAAGUAAUUCUAACCAUUUCAAAAUUACUUCUAGAUAUGUAUUAAUUUGAGUGAAAAUUCAAAACAUUCUGAUUUUUCCAAAAAGUGGAAAUGUUUUAAUUGUUUUGUAAUGUAAAUGCUAGGUUGUCAUUAAAAAAAAAUUAUAAUGUAAAGCAAGUGAAAAUAUGAGGGUUUGAACCUCUCGUUCGUCAAUUACUUUUGAAUUUCUAGCUUGUCAAUUAUUGUUAAGUUAUGCUCACCUUGGCACUAGGUAGUUGUUUGUGGAUGGAAAAAUGGGAGAAAAACGUCUGGAGCUUUGGGUUUUGUUGUGUUAAAAUUUACUAGUGCUUUGUGUUUUUAGCUUGUCAAUUAAAGUCAUGCUUACCUUGGCACCAGGUAGUUGUUUGUGGAUGGAAAAAUAUGAGGAAAAAGUAGGGAGAUUUGGGUUUUGCAGUUAUAAAUAUAGCAAUCAGGCCUAAAGUAUUUGAAUAGAACAAUGUAAAAGAAUUUGUAGAUAUAGUAAAAUUUAGAUUUUGCUUUUAAAGUCUAUCCAUGACAAACCUUGCGAGUAGUGGUCUAUUAGUGAUAGGCCAUAUCACUAGUAGAAGUAUAUCACCGAUAAAUUUUGCUAUAUUUACAGUUAUUUAAAAAUAUUACAAUACACUUAAUUAUUAUUCUUAAAAGUGCUACUUAAUUCAAUCACCCUAAACUUUUUCCUUCAAAACGCUACUCUCUCUUCACAUUUCCAAUAAAAGGAGUUGAUUCUUGAUGGGCCUUUACUUGGUCUUGGUUUGGAAAGCCCACCACCAAGCAAUCAAGCUUAGAACAAUUGAAUCCCAAUU